GCCAGUGUGGCUCAGUGGUUGAGCAUUGGCCUGCAGACCAAAGGGUCCCAGGUUCGAUUCCAGUCAAGGGCA
rnacentral:tRNA from 1 species